rnacentral:rRNA from 1 species
AUUUGAGUGAGUGGCGGACGGGUGAGUAACACGUGGGUAACCUGCCCUAAAGUGGGGGAUAACAUUUGGAAACAGAUGCUAAUACCGCAUAAAACCUAACACCGCAUGGUGUAGGGUUGAAAGAUGGUUUCGGCUAUCACUUUAGGAUGGACCCGCGGUGCAUUAGUUAGUUGGUGAGGUAAAGGCUCACCAAGACCGUGAUGCAUAGCCGACCUGAGAGGGUAAUCGGCCACACUGGGACUGAGACACGGCCCAGACUCCUACGGGAGGCAGCAGUAGGGAAUCUUCCACAAUGGACGAAAGUCUGAUGGAGCAACGCCGCGUGAGUGAAGAAGGUUUUCGGAUCGUAAAACUCUGUUGUUGGAGAAGAAUGUAUCUGAUAGUAACUGAUCAGGUAGUGACGGUAUCCAACCAGAAAGCCACGGCUAACUACGUGCCAGCAGCCGCGGUAAUACGUAGGUGGCAAGCGUUGUCCGGAUUUAUUGGGCGUAAAGCGAGCGCAGGCGGUUUCUUAAGUCUGAUGUGAAAGCCUUCGGCUCAACCGAAGAAGUGCAUCGGAAACUGGGAAACUUGAGUGCAGAAGAGGACAGUGGAACUCCAUGUGUAGCGGUGAAAUGCGUAGAUAUAUGGAAGAACACCAGUGGCGAAGGCGGCUGUCUGGUCUGUAACUGACGCUGAGGCUCGAAAGCAUGGGUAGCAAACAGGAUUAGAUACCCUGGUAGUCCAUGCCGUAAACGAUGAGUGCUAGGUGUUGGAGGGUUUCCGCCCUUCAGUGCCGCAGCUAACGCAUUAAGCACUCCGCCUGGGGAGUACGACCGCAAGGUUGAAACUCAAAGGAAUUGACGGGGGCCCGCACAAGCGGUGGAGCAUGUGGUUUAAUUCGAAGCAACGCGAAGAACCUUACCAGGUCUUGACAUCCUUUGACCACUCUAGAGAUAGAGCUUUCCCUUCGGGGACAAAGUGACAGGUGGUGCAUGGUUGUCGUCAGCUCGUGUCGUGAGAUGUUGGGUUAAGUCCCGCAACGAGCGCAACCCUUAUUACUAGUUGCCAGCAUUUAGUUGGGCACUCUAGUGAGACUGCCGGUGA